rnacentral:rRNA from 1 species
UACAGAGGUCCCAAGCGUUGUUCGGAAUUACUGGGCGUAAAGCGUGCGUAGGUGGUUUGUUAAGUCUGCUGUGAAAGCCCUGGGCUCAACCUGGGAAUGGCGGUGGAUACUGACAAGCUAGAGUGCGGUAGAGGAGGGUGGAAUUCCCGGUGUAGCGGUGAAAUGCGUAGAGAUCGGGAGGAACAUCAGUGGCGAAGGCGGCGAUCUGGGUCGAUACUGACGCUGAGGUGCGAAAGCGUGGGGAGCAAACAGG